rnacentral:rRNA from 1 species
AGGGUUUGAUCAUGGCUCAGGAUGAACGCUGGCGGUGUGCUUAACACAUGCAAGUCGAACGAACCUUCGGGUUAGUGGCGGACGGGUGAGUAACGCGUGAGAAUCUGCCCUCAGGAGGGGGAUAACGGUUGGAAACGACCGCUAAUACCCCAUAUGCCUAUUGGUGAAAUGAAUUUCGCCUGAGGAUGAGCUCGCGUCUGAUUAGCUAGUUGGUGUGGUAAUGGCUCACCAAGGCUUCGAUCAGUAGCUGGUCUGAGAGGAUGAUCAGCCACACUGGGACUGAGACACGGCCCAGACUCCUACGGGAGGCAGCAGUGGGGAAUUUUCCGCAAUGGGCGAAAGCCUGACGGAGCAACGCCGCGUGAGGGACGAAGGCCUCUGGGCUGUAAACCUCUUUUCUCAAGGAAGAAGAUAUGACGGUACUUGAGGAAUAAGCCACGGCUAAUUCCGUGCCAGCAGCCGCGGUAAUACGGGAGUGGCAAGCGUUAUCCGGAAUUAUUGGGCGUAAAGCGUCCGCAGGCGGCUUUUCAAGUCUGCUGUUAAAGCGUGGAGCUUAACUCCAUCAUGGCAGUGGAAACUGAAAGGCUUGAGUAUGGUAGGGGCAGAGGGAAUUCCCGGUGUAGCGGUGAAAUGCGUAGAUAUCGGGAAGAACACCAGUGGCGAAGGCGCUCUGCUGGGCCAUUACUGACGCUCAUGGACGAAAGCCAGGGGAGCGAAAGGGAUUAGAUACCCCUGUAGUCCUGGCCGUAAACGAUGAACACUAGGUGUCGGGGGAAUCGACCCCUUCGGUGUCGUAGCUAACGCGUUAAGUGUUCCGCCUGGGGAGUACGCACGCAAGUGUGAAACUCAAAGGAAUUGACGGGGGCCCGCACAAGCGGUGGAGUAUGUGGUUUAAUUCGAUGCAACGCGAAGAACCUUACCAGGGUUUGACAUCCUGCGAACCUCUUAGAAAUUUGAGGGUGCCUUCGGGAAUGCAGUGACAGGUGGUGCAUGGCUGUCGUCAGCUCGUGUCGUGAGAUGUUGGGUUAAGUCCCGCAACGAGCGCAACCCACGUUUUUAGUUGCCAGCAUUUAGUUGGGCACUCUAGAAAGACCGCCGGUGAUAAACCGGAGGAAGGUGUGGAUGACGUCAAGUCAUCAUGCCCCUUACACCCUGGGCUACACACGUACUACAAUGCUACGGACAAAGGGCAGCAAACUCGCGAGAGCUAGCAAAUCCCAUAAACCGUGGCUCAGUUCAGAUCGUAGGCUGCAACUCGCCUACGUGAAGUAGGAAUCGCUAGUAAUCGCAGGUCAGCAUACUGCGGUGAAUACGUUCCCGGGCCUUGUACACACCGCCCGUCACACCAUGGAAGUUGGCCAUGCCCGAAGUCGUUACUCCAACCCUUGUGGAGGAGGACGCCGAAGGUGGGGCUAAUGACUGGGGUGAAGUCAUAACAAGGUAGCCGUA